AGGGAACUUUUACAUAUGUAGCCACCAACCACAUCAAGAUACAGACCUUUUCUGUCGCUCCAGAGGCUGCUUCAUACUCCUUCUCAACACCCACACCCCACAAGGAACCCCACAAGGAACCACCGUUCUCACAUCGGUCGCCAGGGGUUAGUUUGGUCAGUUCCUGAGCUUCACAUAAAUUAAAUCAUACAGUGUGCGCUCUUUUGUGUCUCAACGUUAUGUCUGUGAGAUUCAGCCAUGCUGUUACGUAUAACAGUAGCUUGUUCUUUCUUAUCACUAUACAGCAUUCCUGUGUAUGAACAUACUUCAAUUAUUUAUACAAUCUACAGUUGAUGGACAUUUGCAUGGUUCCCACUUCGAAUCUAUUAUGAAAAAAAGCUGCUAUGGACAUUCCCGUCGAUGGCUUUUUGUGGUGGACAGACACAAGGCUCAUUUCUCCCAGUACGCGGGUCCCUCACUGCCGCGGCCUCUCCCGCCGCAGAGCACAGGCUCCGGACGCGCAGGCUCAGCGGCCACAGCUCACGGGCCCAGCCCCUCCGCGGCAUGUGGGAUCUUUCCGGACCGGGGCUCGAACCCGCGUCCCCUGCACCGGCAGGCGGACCCCCAACCACUGCGCCACCAAGGAGGCCCCCACAAAUUACUUCUUAAUUGCAAAGUGACAGCUGUAGCUUUUCAGUGGAAAGAUCUGGCUGACACCAACUGAACCAGGUGAUCAAACUUAGUAGCACCCACAAUGAGACUCAAGUCCAUAAUGGGUCUCUGCUGUGACACAUGAGAAGCACCCCAUGUGCUUCACCUGUGCGGUAUCCUUGCCAAAAACAUCUCCCCUGCCUCUAAUCAUGGGAAAGAAAUCAGACAAAUCCACAUCACAGGCAUUCCACAAAAAUAACUUUGGAUGCUGCAAAAAGGUUUGUCUCAAAAGACAGAAAUGGGGAGAGGGGGGUUUUCUAGAUUUAAGGAAACGAAAGAGACAUUUUUAAGAGUGGAAACAUUUUUUCCACUCUUUGCAUGUAGGAAAGCCUCCUCGUCUUUCCCAUGUGCAAUGUGGUUCCACAGACAAUAUUGUAUCGCAUAUGGAACGCCUCCAAAGAAGGAAAAUGAGGUCCCACCCCUAAGGGAGUCCAUCAAAAUCGAUGUUUGGGGCUCUGUAGAAAAAGCCAGUCUUUCCCCUGAUCUGGAAAUUCAGGAACCUCCUUCCACUGGGGACUGUACUCCACUCCUUUCCUGCUGAGAAUCAGUGAAUUAGCUAAGGCUUUUCCAUUAACAUAAGUGAUACUCUUAAUACUUGUUGCCCAAAGAGCUGGACUUCUGGGGAUUUGGGGGGUUUUUUUCCCCACCUUUAUGGCUGAACAGUACAAACUAAAGAAAACCCAGGGUACUAUUGCCCUGUGGCCAAACGAGAGCAUGUAAGUAAUCUUGGAGUUUACCUGUGCAACCUGAGUGGAGGAUUUAGGAUAGACGUCAGUUGUCCCCUUUACACCAGCUCAGAGCUUCAUCACAUGCUUCCUUCCUUCCGUCAUUCUUCCCUUUGGCCUCAUUUGUCACCAUACCUUCCAUGCCCUGUGUGGCUGGAUUUUCUCCACAUCCUAAGCACAGUUGCUAUUUAAAGCAUUCACAUUAUUUCCUUUUGAGAAUGAUUUUGGUCUGGUGGUGGCUCUUGUUGUUUUUUUCUAGCAAUAAAUUAUCUCACUUCA